AGAAUGUUUGAUUUGAUUUUGAAAUGAAUUGGAAAUCCUGAGUUAUUUACCUAAAUGAUGUUCAUUUUUAUAGAUUAGGAUGAAAUCCUAUUAUUAUCCGGUUGAGAUAAGGAUGAAAUCCAUCCGACGAUUGAGAUUAGGAUGAAAUCUAUCAUAUUAUUAUCCGGUUGAGAUAAGGAUGAAAUCCAUCCGACGGUUGAGAUUAGGAUGAAAUCCAUUCAACGGUUGAGAUCAAGAUGAAAUCUAUCCUAUUAUUAUCCGGUUGAGAUAAGGAUGAAAUCCAUCCGACGGUUGAGAUUAGGAUGAAAUCCAUUCAACGGUUGAGAUCAAGAUGAAAUCUAUCCUAUUUUGGCUCUACUUUUAUCUAUAUAUAUUCAAGUCCCAAAAUACCCAUUCAUACGAAAUUGGCUUUAGUUUUUCUUUAACCAUAUAAUCCACUUUUCCUCUAUUCACUUGCAAAAGAUGUCUACCCGAUCUACAUGAUACUCUACCAAUGAAGAUAUGGUAUUAUGCCAAGUUUAUUUAGAUGUAUCUCAAGAUCCAAUAACGGGUAUAAAUCAAUCUAGAGAUAUUUUUUGGGGUCGAGUAGAAGAUGGGUACAAUAGUGCAAAGGAUGAGUGUUGGGAGUAUCGCAACAAAAGAUCGUUGGAAUGUCGAAUUAAAGUUAUUGAGAAGGCCAUAAGAAAAUUAAAUGGUUGUGUACGUCAAGUUGAAAAUUUGCAUCCUAGUGGUGCUCAGAUAAAGAUAUUAUUAAUCAAGCAAAAUGUUUACUUAUGCAAGAUCCGAACUACAAAAAAGGUUUUAAAUUUGAUCAUGUGUGGGAUAUGAUGAAGGAUUUUGAGAAUUUUAAAGAU